GAGUUCAUUACUCAUAUGAUCACUGAACUUUGCAAAAUGAUGGAACAAAGUCACUUAACUUUAGUUUGUAACAGGAAAAUCACUCAACUUUUCCUAAUGCACAAAGAUAGUCACUCAACCAGAAAUAUCAAAUUUUUCGGUGGAAAAAGAUGACAUGGCAGUCUACAUGGAAUUUUUUAUUAUUUGACCAAAUAACACCCAAACAAAAUAUUAAAACUCUGCCCAUAAACCCAAACGACCCGACGUGCAUAAAAACCCACCCACUUAAUAAAAUAAACACAAAGGACUAACCAAACGCUCUGACCAUUUCAUGCUACUCUCUUCUUCUCCAUGGUUUCACUAUAGUUCAAAUUUGAGCUUUUCAACAUGGAAUUGGAAGGUGCAUCAAGUAGAAAAUAUAAAAAAUCUCAAAAGAAGGAAUCCAUCUCUUCUCCACAACCAUUGUUUAAUGUGGAUUCGAACCACUAUGCCGAGGGUAUUGCACAGUGCUGAGAGAAAACGAGGAGUGAUUGGAAAUUCUGGAUGGGGUAUUUCAGGAAAAUAGUGUUUUGAGUAAUACGGUGGCUGAGAGGAAGGGUAAUGGUGUCGAUGGUGAUGAAUAAAGUGAGGAUGAAAAUCGGUUAGAUGAUCAAGAUUUCAAUGAUCCAGACUAUAACCUAGAGGAAGAUGAUGACGAUUAUCAUGAUAUUACUGCUGAUAAUCACGAUAUUACUGUUGAGAAUUAUUUUAAGAAGGCAAAAGUAAGACAAAAAAAAUACCAAUGAUGGAAAUAAUAGAAUUGGACUAUCUGUUGGCAUCCUAAUUCCAGAAAUAAAUGAAAAUGGUGAUUCAGAUUAUGCUGAAUCUGAUGAAUUGCUAGAGCGAGAUACUGAUAAAGAAGAUGAGGUAGAGGUCGCAUAUGAGGAGUAUAACGAAGAAAUGGACAACCCUAUAUUAAAACUAGGAAUGAAGUUUGGGUUUUUUAAAACAGUUUAAGGAGGCUUGUAUGAACUGGGGGAUUAAGAAUAGGAGACAAUUACAUUUCAAACCCAAUGACUCAAAAAGAUGUGUUUCUCGAUGCAAGCAGAAAGGGUGUCCCUUUAGAUGUUUGUGCUUGUGCAAAGUACUGAAGGUAUUUCGAAAAGAGGCACGAUUUUCAAGAGCCACGAAGGACUAUGUUUGCAAAGUCUUAAAGAAGUCUCGGAAGUGAACUAUCAAGUUUCCUUUUUGUUUUUGUGCAAACUACUAAUGUGACACAGUUUAUUAUGUGUUA